UUUUUUUUUUUUUUUUGUAUUCUUGGUAGAGACAGGGUUUCACCAUGUUGACCAGGCUGGUUUUGAACUCCUGACCUCAGGUGAUCCAAAGUGCUGGGAUUACAGGUGUAAGCCGUCACUUUGGGCCCAGGGCCCAUUUUUGAAAAAAUAAUUUCAACUUUUAUUUUAGAUUCAGGGGCUAUAUGUGCAGGUUUGUUACAUGGGUAUAUUGUGUGAUGCUGAGCUUUGGGGUACAAAUGAUCUCAUCGCUCAGGAAGUGAGCAGAGUACCCAAUAGAUAGUUUUUCAGCCCUUUCCACCCUCCUUCCCUCUUCCCUCUAGUAGUUGCAGUGUCUACGGUUCCCAUCUUUAUAUCCAUGUGUACACAAUUCUCAGUUCCCACUUAUACGUGAGAAUGUGAUAUUUGGUCUUCUAUUCCUAUGUUAAUUUCCUUAGGAUUAUGGUCUCUGAGUUGAUCCAUGUUGCUGCAAAGACAUGAUUUCAUUCUUCUCAUGGCUGCAUAGUAUUCCACAGUGUGUGUACCACAUUUCCUUUAUCCAGUCUGCCACUGAUAGCCACCUAGGUUGAUUCCAUGGCUUUGCUACUGUGUAUAGUGUUGUGACGGACGUGCAAGAGUAUCUGUCCUUUUGGCAGAACAAUUAUUUUCCUUUGGGUAAAUGCCCACUAAAGGAAUUGCUGGGUGGAAUAUUAGUUCUGUUUUAAAUUAUUUCAGAAAUCUCCAAACUGCUUUCUGCAUAAAUGUUUCCAUGAACUAAUUUACACUCGGGCCAACAGUGUAUAAGCGUUCCCUUUCCUCUGCAGCCUCAGCAGCAUCUUCUGUGUUUUUGACAUUUUAAUAAUAGCCACUCUGCUGCCGAGUUCUUUCAAGGCCAAUGUGGGGAAGAGCCACAGACAUCCCGUUUCCAGAAGAGAAUUCUUGCCUGCCCACUGGUAGAAUGCUUGUUUUCAUCUGUCUUUUGUUGUUUGUUUUUCAAAGAAAAACCAAAGGUAAAGUGGUAUGAUCUUCCACACCUGAACCAGUUUGUAGCCGCCAGAGCCUGCUGGGAAGGGACUCCCCAAGGAUGCAUUGAUCUUGUCACCUGGAAUUUGAGAGAUCAACAAGCCCCAUAGCAUCCGGCCAUACACCUGCCCAUCAGCACCCAUCCUUUCAAGGGAUUAGCGCAAUUCUGGCUCUGCAGACAUUGGCAGCCACACGUCACAAACCCUGGGUCUCUGUGGGCUUCCCUCCUCACCCAGGACCACAAUGGACUGCCUGUCCUGGGCAGAGACACAGCAACAUUCUCUUAAACUGAAAUUAAGUAUAAAUCCACUUCACCAAUAAUCAUCUGAGGGCACAGUCCCUGCCUCCGUCCUUGGGGAUUUGAAAACACUCAUCUCUCUGACCAAACAGGUAGGUGAGAUCUGACUUUAAAUGGGGGAAUAUCGGGAUGAAUUGGGGUAUCAGGAAUGAAUCCCCAAGUGUUUUUUGUUGGGACAGGCAUCCACAUCCCGAACUGUACAUGGAGAUGGAGAAAAAUGCAGGAGAGAAGAGAAAUAAAUGGGGGACAAAGUGAUUGAAAGCUUCUCUUGUGGUUCUUUCCGGCUCUGGUUGUUUUGCCAAGGUCUUGAGUGCAGGGAGCUGGCUCUGGCUGGGAGCUGGCUCUGGCUGGGAGCUGCUGCUUUGGGAGAUGGAAGCGUCACUUUAGCUCCAGAAAACUCAUUCGAUCAUCUGUAAAAUGAUCACUCAAUCAUCUGUAAAAUGUAAAAUCCCAAAGUGGUUGUGAUGAUAAAAUGAAAAAAGCAUUCUUAACUUAUAUGAGUUACAUGUUGUAUAGUAAGUUAUGUGGCAUAUAGUAAGCACACAGAAAUGACUCACUGUUAUCAUAAUUGAAAGACAGUGGUUUGGUGUGCUAAGCACUAAACACAAGAUGGAAAGGUAUCUUCGAAAAGUAGACAAAGAAAUCCAUAGUUCAGAAUGAACAGUACCAAGAAUGGCAUGUCCUCCAAAUGGAGCCUGGGCAACUGUAUCUCAACCUGUCCUACACAUCUGAAUCUACAUAACGAGGUAACAGCUCAUACUGUAACACCUACAGCUAUGUCUCUGCCUGUAAGGUCAUUCCUUUUUGAAGAAAGAUGACCUCAGACUAUACUAUGAUCAUUUAAGGAAGAGCACAAAAUACUGGAGAAGGCUUGUAUUCAAGCUCUAGAUACAGAAAAUCCUCAUAUUCUUGGGUGUUACUUUUCAGACACAGAGUCAGAGCCACAAGCACUGAUCCAAAAAUCCCCUUUUCCAAAAAUUGUUUCCACCUUCUACCGAGGUUCACCUCCCUGUUUAGUGCACACUGGUGUCUAUAGUUGCUAGAGGAAGAGUCUCUCCUUAUCC
rnacentral:lncRNA from 1 species